CUCAUCAUCAGGCGCCAAACUGUGCCGCGCCGUCACAAACUCACGCAUAGCGCGCAUGGGAGCGUACCCACACCCACGCACACGGAGCGUGAACAGCACCGCUUUUUUUUUUUGCAGGGAGGGGGAGAUGCUUCAUAGGCGUCUGCUGCCAGCAUCCAUAGUCGAAAGUCCGAGACGCGAAACCCCUUUCACUCCCGCCCAAGAAAAAAAGAAAAGAAUUCCUUUGCUCCGCUUUUCGGCCCCGGCGCGGAGGGCGCACCGAGACGCUGAUGAGCCUCUUGCAUCGGCUCCACGGCGCGCGCUGGUGCGCUUUGCGGCAGCAGCGACGGCGGUGCAACGGCGUUCGUGGCGUAUUCGCCGCUGCUGCACUGAACCGCGGUGAUUUAGUGCUAUCGGUACCACUUCGCUACUGCUUCAUUACGCAGCUUGACCUUCCACGCGAUGGCGGCCGUUCUUCGUCACCUUUGUUGGACAAUGUGAAGGGUGCGCGGCACCUGCGCCACUGCAAUCGGGGCGUGGCGUUGUUUCCGGAGGCGUGGGUGUGGCUGCAGAGGUUCUCCACUGACGCCCCCGCCGACCGCGUGUCUUUGAGUUCUGCUAUCUCGUGCGAAGCAGCGCCGGGGAGCAUCGCUGCGGCGCCGUCGGUGAUGGCGCUUACUCUCUCCCCGGUCGAGGCCGCCCUCGCUACCUGCGUGGCACUGCGCUACUUCUACGCGCACGCGCUAAACCUUUCAGCGGCAACACGCGUUGCCCAUAGUAUUGGCCCAGCGCCACACGACUUGUCCGACCGGUUUACUGCCAGCCUGCCGUUCGAGGACUACCUGCAGUGGGGAUUGGAGUCCAUCUACAGCGACGCCUCCUCCGCGGAGGCACACCUGUGCCUCGAGCAGCUGUCCAGCAACCUCCGUGACGCCAUCAUGACGCACGCCAGCAACGUGGAGUUCCGCUUUCUCGACGAAGCCCCGUCGUUGUUCGACACGGUGCUUCUGACAAGCCUGUACCUGGUGCGUUCCCGCGUUCUGCGGAUGCCGCUACUUUCCAGUACCUCGAACACACCCGAUAGCAGCUGUAGUGUCUUUGCGCCGGGGCUGGAUGCACUGAAUCACUGUGGCACGUCACCGGCCGCCGCGGCGGUGGUGUCGGCGGUGCGGCGCUCCGUUGUCGUGCGUGCACGGCGCCGCAUUAGCCGCGGUGAAGAGAUUACGCUCGACUAUCGACUAGCGGGGGGCGGCAGAGGAGUGAGCCGGGGGCAUCCAUCUCACAAUGGCUCUCUCCUUCGCCAAGACGUAAUAUGCAUGAACGAUGUUUGGGCGGCGCGGUAUCUCAUGGACUAGCGGGGCUAAACUGCGAUGGGGAGGGAUUGGGGAUGCCGAGGCGUGCUGUGUGAUUGAGGGGCCAAUCCUGCUUUGAGUCCACCCACGCCCUCGCACGUGCUUCAGACCAGCACACACAUACGCGAUGGCUGACCUGCAAACGCGAAAGCCAGGAAAAGGAGCGUUGCCUUGCAUUCCUUUGCCUCUCAUUGACGGAACGCGCGUGCGCGUUACCCCCCCCCCCUCCCUCCCGUCUGCGAGCUGCGGGCGGGUGAAGGGGGACGUUCACGACCGCCAGCGAAAUCGUCAUGAGCGAACACAAUUUGCUUUGUUUAACGUUGCACACGCGAGGGAUUGAAAAGGAAAGGAAAGUGACAGCGGCAAAAAAGCAGCCGAGGUGACGAGAAGGCCACACAGACGAGAAUACACGAACAUGCGUUGCAAGCUCUGAGGGUAGGCGAAGGUGACGGCGACGACAAUGACGCACGCUGGUCAUGAACUUCGUACACCGCUCUCCCGAGCGGGCCUUCUGUAGUAUGUUCUCUGCCCUUGCCUUUUCUUCGCUGUUAACGCCCGCGAUUCUCCAUACCUGCUUCACUCUUGUCUUCCACGUCCGCCUCCAACUGCUUCUCCACACUUCUUCUCAGUUUCUUCAGAUGGUCCACUGUAAAGAAUCUCGUCCCCACCCUCCCCCUCUCCUCUACCCCCUCUCUGCUGUUUUUGUUCUCCGUUGCUCAUCAG
rnacentral:misc_RNA from 1 species